rnacentral:rRNA from 1 species
GGCCCAGACUCCUACGGGAGGCAGCAGUGGGGAAUAUUGCACAAUGGGGGAAACCCUGAUGCAGCGACGCCGCGUGAGUGAAGAAGUAUCUCGGUACGUAAAGCUCUAUCAGCAGGGAAGAAAAUGACGGUACCUGACUAAGAAGCCCCGGCUAACUACGUGCCAGCAGCCGCGGUAAUACGUAGGGGGCAAGCGUUAUCCGGAUUUACUGGGUGUAAAGGGGGCGCAGACGGCAAUGCAAGCCAGGAGUGAAAGCCCGGGGCCCAACCCCGGGACUGCUCUUGGAACUGCAUGGCUGGAGUACAGGAGGGGCAGGCGGAAUUCCUAGUGUAGCGGUGAAAUGCGUAGAUAUUAGGAGGAACACCAGUGGCGAAGGCGGCUUACUGGACAGUAACUGACGUUGAGGCUCGAAAGCGUGGGGAGCAAACAGGAUUAGAUACCCUCGUA